rnacentral:rRNA from 1 species
ACGGCAGUAGCAAUACUGUGGGUGCGAGUGGCGGACGGGUGAGAAUACGUCGGAAUCUGCCCAGUUCGGUGGGGGAAUAACUAGCCGAAAGGUUAGCUAAUACCGCAUACGACCGAGNGGUAGAAAGCGGGGGACCGCAAGGCCUCGCGCGAUUGGAUGAGCCGACGUCGGAUUAGCUAGUUGGAGGGGUAAAGGCCCACCAAGGCGACGAUCCGUAGCUGGUCUGAGAGGAUGAUCAGCCACACUGGAACUGAGACACGGUCCAGACUCCUACGGGAGGCAGCAGUGGGGAAUAUUGGACAAUGGGCGCAAGCCUGAUCCAGCAAUGCCGCGUGUGUGAAGAAGGCCUUCGGGUUGUAAAGCACUUUUAUCAGGAACGAAAAGCGUUGGAUUAAUACUCUGACGUGCUGACGGUACCUGAGGAAUAAGCACCGGCUAACUUCGUG